UUGAUGUGUUGGACUUCCGGUUUCUGGGUAAAGGACAAACUGACCAGUGUGUUUGCUUUUGAUCCCCGGAAGCCCCAUUCAAGCUAUGGCAACGGUUUGUUUGGUUUAAGCUAUAAAUUCCUAAAGACAAAGAGAGCAGGAGAGGAGAUGCACCCCGAUUGUGGAGACAGGGGAACUGUAGCUGAGUCCACAGGCCCGAGAGAGCGGGGCGCAGAGAAGCAGGUCCACCAGCAGCUGGGAUGGGCCCUCAGGCAGCACGGGGGGCGGGGGGACUCGGAGGUGUGGUCCAGACUAGCUCGAGGGGCUCUGCUCAGUGGAGGGCUGGGCUGAAGCCGGGAGUGGAAGGGACGAGGCCACGCAGAAAGCCAGGGAACGGGAGUUUUACAUCCUCAACGCCCCCAGCCGCGCCCUCCUCCCCACCCCGCCUCCAGGCGGGAGAGUGAAGGGUCUUCUGGGGUCUGAGCACGAAGGUUUGGAGCCGACAUGUCUGCCCCUCCCUCAGAGUAUCCAGUUUGACCUUGGCCCCCUUGUCGAGGGUCGGGUGAUCUGGAAGCGGAUGCCAAGGCAGAGUUCAGAUGGCAUGACCUUGCUGCAGACCCCAGGGGCCUGGGCCCUGAUUCUCCUGCUGGGCUUGCCCACCAAGCCCACAAGCUUGCCCAUCACUGAUGUAGGCAACACCAGCCUGCCCGCUGCAGGACCUUUUCCUGCUCCGGGUGCCCUCCAAGUUGUCAGCCCUGUGUCACCUGGGAAACGGCCAGAGCACAUGCCUGGGUGGGGGCUGUGCUGCCUCCAGCGCCUGCAGAAGCUCGACAGGAGUGGUGCUCCCUCUUCAUGGCGGAAGGUGCAAGAUGCAAGAACCCGUCCUUUGCUCUGAGCGGGUGCCCAGGAACGCCCCUUUGCCCUGGGCCACUAGAAUUUUUACAGGUGUGGCAGGCCUCAGAAUCUCCUUGAUCUCUGGCCGUGGCAUCUGCUGCUGCCCGAGGCCGCCCUCUUGAGUGCCCAUGUGUCACCACGGCAUGUUGCUCAGCCAGCCCAGCCACAUCAUGUCACUGAGGAAAUGGAUCGAUGUGACACUGUGAGGAACGUCGCUGUGGUCCAGGGCAGGGGAGUUACACAUAGCCCUGGGUGGCUGCACAUAUGUGCUGUGUGCAUCCAUGUGGAGGACGUGGUCUGUCUCUGAUGGGAUGGAGAAUGCACCAUACCACAGGGCCUCGUGUCCCUGGGGCCACAUCACUCUGCCCUGGAGGCUGUGGUCACCCUCCAGGAUCUAUUCCCUUUUAGUAAGGACUGGACCGGUGAAUGAAAUGGACGUAUGAGGGGACCAAUGCCCCUGCAUCCUUCAGCUCCUCCAGGACGGCACCAAUCUCGCCGUCUCCCUCCCCACAGGCGACCUUGGUCUCCUUUACUCUCUUGGCUGCAGAGGGAGGAGUUGCACAGCUUUCCUUUAACCUUUGCACUAUGAUCACGAUGAUGGCUCUGCCCACAGACCAAGGAUCCUAUGGGGCAAAUGUCAAUCAUUGUUCACAGACUGGGGAAGUGACCACUGGGUGGGUCUGCAACCCAGUGGACCCCCUGUAAGCUGGACCUUGGGCAGAAUGCCAUUAAUCACCACUCUAACAGGGGUCUCUGGAUACCAGUGUCGACCCUGGCCUGGUCCUAUGGCCCCUAAAACCUCUGGCACUCCCUUCCCCAGUGCAGUUGCUGUAGGUCCCCCUGGGGAGGCAGAGCCAUGCGCCCUUUCUCACAUGGUCAGAGGACAUUAAGGAUGGGAGACGGAGAGGCCGAGAUGGUCACCCCACAAACAGCACAAUCCCGGACUCAGUUUCGGCCCUGAGCCAGCUUUCAGACCUGGGACCCAUUGACUGAAGAGGUGGCCAGGUGACCAGGAGAGGUGUUUGAAAGCUCGGAGACUCAUCUACAUCGCCAUAUUUCCUUUAAACAAAGAAAGAAUAUUUUAA